rnacentral:rRNA from 1 species
CGAACGCUGGCGGCAGGCCUAACACAUGCAAGUCGAACGCAUGCCUUCGGGCAUGAGUGGCGCACGGGUGAGUAACGCGUGGGAACCGACCCUGGGGUUGGGGAUAACCGCUGGAAACGGCGGCUAAUACCCGAUACGCCUUGAGGGGGAAAGAUUUAUCGCCCUGGGACGGGCCCGCGUUGGAUUAGGUAGUUGGUGGGGUAACGGCCUACCAAGCCUACGAUCCAUAGCUGGUUUGAGAGGAUGAUCAGCCACACUGGGACUGAGACACGGCCCAGACUCCUACGGGAGGCAGCAGUGGGGAAUAUUGGACAAUGGGGGCAACCCUGAUCCAGCCAUGCCGCGUGAGUGAAGAAGGCCUUAGGGUUGUAAAGCUCUUUCAGUGGUGAAGAUGAUGACGGUAGCCACAGAAGAAGCCCCGGCUAACUCCGUGCCAGCAGCCGCGGUAAUACGGAGGGGGGCAAGCGUUGUUCGGAAUUACUGGGCGUAAAGGGCGCGUAUGCGGAUAUUCAAGUCAGAGGUGACAGCCCCGGGCUCAACCUGGGGAAUUGCCUUUUGAACUGGGAUGUCUGGAGUUCGGGAGAGGGUGAGCCGGAAUACCCAGUGUA